GAUGAACGCUGGCGGCGUGCCUAAUACAUGCAAGUCGAGCGAACAGACGAGGAGCUUGCUCCUCUGACGUUAGCGGCGGACGGGUGAGUAACACGUGGAUAACCUACCUAUAAGACUGGGAUAACUUCGGGAAACCGGAGCUAAUACCGGAUAAUAUAUUGAACCGCAUGGUUCAAUAGUGAAAGACGGUUUUGCUGUCACUUAUAGAUGGAUCCGCGCCGCAUUAGCUAGUUGGUAAGGUAACGGCUUACCAAGGCGACGAUGCGUAGCCGACCUGAGAGGGUGAUCGGCCACACUGGAACUGAGACACGGUCCAGACUCCUACGGGAGGCAGCAGUAGGGAAUCUUCCGCAAUGGGCGAAAGCCUGACGGAGCAACGCCGCGUGAGUGAUGAAGGUCUUCGGAUCGUAAAACUCUGUUAUUUGGGAAGAACAAAUGUGUAAGUAACUAUGCACGUCUUGACGGUACCUAAUCAGAAAGCCACGGCUAACUACGUG
rnacentral:rRNA from 1 species